AUGUCCACCUUGUUCAUUUUUAUGUCUUGGGAGAUUUGGAAAGAGCGCAACACGGGGGUCUUUCACAGCACCGUUGCUACGAUGAUGAUGGUCGUCGCGAAGAUCAAAGAGGAAGCUCAUCUUUGGGCUAUAGCCGGUGCCACCCACUUGAAUAUUGUAAUACCGCGAGAGUAG
rnacentral:rRNA from 1 species